UCGAACGGAAAGGCCCUGCUUGCAGGGUACUCGAGUGGCGAACGGGUGAGUAACACGUGGGUGAUCUGCCCUGCACUUCGGGAUAAGCCUGGGAAACUGGGUCUAAUACCGGAUAGGAGCCAUUUUUAGUGUGAUGGUUGGAAAGUUUUUUCGGUGUAGGAUGAGCUCGCGGCCUAUCAGCUUGUUGGUGGGGUAAUGGCCUACCAAGGCGGCGACGGGUAGCCGGCCUGAGAGGGUGGACGGCCACAUUGGGACUGAGAUACGGCCCAGACUCCUACGGGAGGCAGCAGAAGGG
rnacentral:rRNA from 1 species